AUUGAACGCUGGCGGCAGGCCUAACACAUGCAAGUCGAGCGAGCGGCGGACGGGUGAGUAAUGCCUGGGAAUUUCCCAGUCGAGGGGGAUAACCGUUGGAAACGACUUAUAAUACCGCAUACGCUUGUGUUACCCAGGUGGUAUUAGCUAGUUGGUGAGGUAAUGGCUCACCAAGUCGACGAUCCCUAGCUGGUCUGAGAGGAUGAUCAGCCACACUGUAACUGAGACACGGUCCAGACUCCUACGGGAGGCAGCAGUGGGGAAUAUUGCACAAUGGGGGAAACCCUGAUGCAGCCAUGCCGCGUGUGUGAAGAAGGCCUUCGGGUUGUAAAGCACUUUCAGCGAGGAGGCGGUACUCGCAGAAGAAGCACCGGCUAACUCCGUGCCAGCAGCCGCGGUAAUUC
rnacentral:rRNA from 1 species